rnacentral:rRNA from 1 species
AACGAACGCUGGCGGCAGGCCUAACACAUGCAAGUCGAGCGGGACCUUCGGGUCUAGCGGCGGACGGGUGAGUAUCGCGUGGGAAUGUGCCCUUCUCUACGGAAUAGCCUCGGGAAACUGAGAGUAAUACCGUAUACGCCCUUUGGGGGAAAGAUUUAUCGGAGAAGGAUCAGCCCGCGUUGGAUUAGGUAGUUGGUGGGGUAAUGGCCUACCAAGCCGACGAUCCAUAGCUGGUUUGAGAGGAUGAUCAGCCACACUGGGACUGAGACACGGCCCAGACUCCUACGGGAGGCAGCAGUGGGGAAUCUUAGACAAUGGGGGAAACCCUGAUCUAGCCAUGCCGCGUGGGUGAUGAAGGCCUUAGGGUUGUAAAGCUCUUUCAGCUGGGAAGAUAAUGACGGUACCAGCAGAAGAAGCCCCGGCUAACUCCGUGCCAGCAGCCGCGGUAACAC